AUUGAACGCUGGCGGCAGGCCUAACACAUGCAAGUCGAGCGAACCUAGCUUGCUAGGUGAGCGGCGAACGGGUGAGUAACACGUAGGAAUCUGCCCGAUAGUGGGGGACAACGUCUCGAAAGGGACGCUAAUACCGCAUACGCCCUAAGGGGGAAAGCAGGGGAUCUUCGGACCUUGCGCUAUCGGAUGAGUCUGCGUCGGAUUAGCUAGUUGGGGGGGUAAAGGCCCACCAAGGCGACGAUCCGUAGCUGGUCUGAGAGGAUGAUCAGCCACACCGGAACUGAGACACGGUCCGGACUCCUACGGGAGGCAGCAGUGGGGAAUAUUGGACAAUGGGGGCAACCCUGAUCCAGCCAUGCCGCGUGUGUGAAGAAGGCCUUCGGGUUGUAAAGCACUUUAAGCUGGGAGGAAGGUUUCUUGGCUAAUAUCCAAGAGAAUUGACGUUACCAGCAGAAUAAGCACCGGCUAACUCCGUGCCAGCCGCCGCCGUAACAC
rnacentral:rRNA from 1 species